CCUACGGGAGGCAGCAGUGGGGAAUAUUGGACAAUGGGCGAAAGCCUGAUCCAGCGACGCCGCGUGAGUGAUGAAGGCCUUCGGGUUGUAAAGCUCUGUCAGGAGGGAAGAACGUCCAUGUGGCUAACAUCCACGUGGGGUGACGGUACCUCCGGAGGAAGCACCGGCUAACUCUGUGCCAGCAGCCGCGGUAAUACAGAGGGUGCAAGCGUUGCUCGGAAUUACUGGGCGUAAAGCGUGUGUAGGCGGUUUUUCAAGUGGGGUGUGAAAUCCCUGGGCUCAACCCAGGAACUGCGCCCCAAACUGGAAGACUUGAGUGUCGGAGAGGAUAGUGGAAUUCCCAGUGUAGAGGUGAAAUUCGUAGAUAUUGGGAGGAACACCAGUGGCGAAGGCGGCUAUCUGGACGAACACUGACGCUGAGACACGAAAGCGUGGGGAGCAAACAGGAUUAGAUACCCUGGUAGUC
rnacentral:rRNA from 1 species